rnacentral:lncRNA from 1 species
CCCUGGAGGGAAUCGACUGCCAGUUUAAGGAGUCAUUGUCCAGUUCAGACUCCAGAAUACGAAACGUAGAAACUGACAGGAAAUGACCAAGUAUAAAUUGCAACUUGUAGAGAAGAAUCAUCUUAAAUCCUGGCACUGCGUUCCAGGGGGAGUUUGAGCAAGGAAUGUUGCUAAAACGGCUAAAACCAGGAACUCAGAAUAUCGUUCUACAGUAGAACCUAAAAACUGUUUCCAACCCAUCACGACAUCACCCUAAAAAAUGAGUGAGCAGUCACUGAGGCUUCCCAAGUUUGAAAAUUCCACAAGACUGAGAGCAAGUGUUUUGUUGAAACUGAAGUCAAGAUGAAGUCAGCUGACUCUCAAACCUCAGGUGAAGUGACUCAGGGCCCACACCCCGGUUCUGAGGCAGGGACACAUUUUACUUGCAGUACCCUGCAGCUUUGGAUGAGGCUGCAACCCGGGUGAAUCCUGGCCCUGCUAUCACGUGGGCAGCCACUGCAUCCUCCGGAGGCUGUGGAUGGGAGUCACCAUGCUGGGAGGUCUGGAGUAAGAUCUGUGCCAUCUGCCUUGCCCAAUCCUGUACCAGGGCCUGUGUUUCAAAAUCUCAAAAUAAAAGUGAUUAUUCUUGCAACACAUCUAGGUGUACUAAACGAAUAC